AGCAGUGGGGAUAUUGCACAAUGGGCGCAAGCCUGAUGCAGCCAUGCCGCGUGUGUGAAGAAGGCCUUCGGGUUGUAAAGCACUUUCAGUCAGGAGGAAAGGUUAGUAGUUAAUACCUGCUAGCUGUGACGUUACUGACAGAAGAAGCACCGGCUAACUCCGUGCCAGCAGCCGCGGUAAUACGGAGGGUGCGAGCGUUAAUCGGAAUUACUGGGCGUAAAGCGUACGCAGGCGGUUUGUUAAGCGAGAUGUGAAAGCCCCGGGCUCAACCUGGGAACUGCAUUUCGAACUGGCAAACUAGAGUGUGAUAGAGGGUGGUAGAAUUUCAGGUGUAGCGGUGAAAUGCGUAGAGAUCUGAAGGAAUACCGAUGGCGAAGGCAGCCACCUGGGUCAACACUGACGCUCAUGUACGAAAGCGUGGGGAGCAAACGGGAUUAGAUACCCCGGUAGUCCACGCCGUAAACGAUGUCUACUAGAAGCUCGGAGCCUCGGUUCUGUUUUUCAAAGCUAACGCAUUAAGUAGACCGCCUGGGGAGUACGGCCGCAAGGUUAAAACUCAAAUGAAUUGACGGGGCCCC
rnacentral:rRNA from 1 species